UUCGGGAGCUUGCACAGGUGCUGCAUGGCUGUCGUCAGCUCGUGUCGUGAGAUGUUCGGUUAAGUCCGCUAACGAGCGCAACCCUCGCUGUGUGUUAUAUGUGUCACACGGGACUGCCGGUCUUAAGCCGGAGGAAGGUGGGGAUGAUGUCAAGUCAGCAUGGCCUUUAUAUCCUGGGCUACACACACGCUACAAUGGCCAACACAAUAGGUUGCUAAGCCGCGAGGUGGCGCCAAUCCAUAAAGUUGGUCUCAGUUCAGAUUGUAGGCUGCAACCCGCCUGCAUGAAGAUGGAGUUGCUAGUAACCGCAGGUCAGCUAUACUGCGGUGAAUACGUUCCCGGGCUU
rnacentral:rRNA from 1 species